GUUUAGGGGUAAACCUGAGAAACCCGAAAGGUCGAAGGGAGAAAUUCAUUCGCGUUUCGAGGCAGGCGACGAGCGGUCGCGCGACGGGAGACGUUUCGGCGUCGCCCGCGCCUUCCGCACGUCGAUCCGGUCGCGAACGCGUGCACUUUUCUUCCGGUAGGACGUCGCGAUCCGUCGGGCGUCGGUCUAAGGUUCGCGGUGGAGCCCGCCGGUCGCGUUUCGACGCGCGUACCGGCGAACCCGCGUUUAUUCCCGGCCGACUCGCUCGACGGUAAGCUAAAGGUUUAAGGCCGCUCUCCUUCGGGAGGAGCGUUCGGCCGACGGCAAGCGCGCCCGUCGCGUCGGCGAUCGGACCCGGUGCCGAUUCCGACCGCGGGUGACUGUUGGCCGUCGAGUUCUCGAACAGACCUUCGAACCGAUCAGCGACGCUAUAGCUUUGGGUACUUUCAGGACCCGUCUUGAAACACGGACCAAGGAGUCUAGCACGUACGCGAGUCAUUGGGAAUUUCUAAACCUAAAGGCGUAAUGAAAGUGAAGGUUUUCCUCGCGAAAACCGAGGGAAGACGGGCGCGUCGCCCUUAAAAGCGACCGCCUCGCAUUCCCGGGGCGUCUCGUUCUCAUCGCGAGAAGAGGCGCACCAAGAGCGUACGCGCUGGGACCCGAAAGAUGGUGAACUAUGCCUGGUCAGGACGAAGUCAGGGGAAACCCUGAUGGAGGUCCGUAGCGAUUCUGACGUGCAAAUCGAUCGUCGGAACUGGGUAUAGGGGCGAAAGACUAAUCGAACCAUC
rnacentral:rRNA from 1 species